rnacentral:rRNA from 1 species
UACGUAGGGUGCGAGCGUUGUUCGGAUUCAUUGGGCGUAAAGGGUGCGUAGGUGGCGCCGUAAGUCGGGUGUGAAAUUUCGGAGCUUAACUCCGAAACUGCAUUCGAUACUGCGGUGCUUGAGGACUGGAGAGGAGACUGGAAUUCAUGGUGUAGCAGUGAAAUGCGUAGAGAUCAUGAGGAAGACCAGUGGCGAAGGCGGGUCUCUGGACAGUUCCUGACACUGAGGCACGAAGGCCAGGGGAGCAAACGGG